rnacentral:rRNA from 1 species
AGUGAACGCUGGCGGUGUGCCUAACACAUGCAAGUCGAGCGGCAGCACAGGAAGAUCGUUCUCUUACGGUUGGCGGGUGGCGGACGAGUGAGGAGUGCAUCGGAAUCUACUUAUUCUUGGGUGAUAUCGUAGGAAAGCUGACGCUAAUACCUCAUACGUCCUACGGGUUAAAUCAAUGGAGCUUCACACCUUUCGCGAUUGAUUUAGCCGAUUUCGCAGUAGCUAGUUGGCGAGGUAAAGGCCCACCAAGGCAACGAUCCGUAGCCGGUCUGAGAGGGUGAUCGGCCACACUGGAACUGAGACACGGUCCAGACUCCUACGGGAGGCAGCAGUAGGGAAUCUUCCGCAAUGGGCGAAAGCCUGACGCAGCAAUGCCGCGUGAGUGAUGAAGGUCUUCGGAUCGUAAAGCUCUGUUAUUAGGAAAGAAAAAAUGUGUAAGUAACUAUGGACGUCUUGACGGUACCUAAUCAGAAAGCCACGGCUAACUACGUG